rnacentral:rRNA from 1 species
UACAGAGGUCUCAAGCGUUGUUCGGAAUCAUUGGGCGUAAAGCGCGUGUAGGCGGCCAGAUAAGUCCGCUGUGAAAUCUCGAGGCUCAACUUCGAGCUGUCGGUGGAAACUGUCUGGCUAGAGUCCGGAAGAGGAGAAUGGAAUUCCUGGUGUAGCGGUGAAAUGCGCAGAUAUCAGGAAGAACACCCGUGGCGAAGGCGGUUCUCUGGGACGGUACUGACGCUGAGACGCGAAAGCGUGGGGAGCGAACAGG